GAAUAUUGCACAAUGGGGGAAACCCUGAUGCAGCCAUGCCGCGUGUGUGAAGAAGGCCUUCGGGUUGUAAAGCACUUUCAGUUGUGAGGAAAAGUGAGUAGUUAAUACCUGCUCACCGUGACGUUAACAACAGAAGAAGCACCGGCUAACUCCGUGCCAGCAGCCGCGGUAAUACGGAGGGUGCGAGCGUUAAUCGGAAUUACUGGGCGUAAAGCGCACGCAGGCGGUUUGUUAAGCUAGAUGUGAAAGCCCCGAGCUCAACUUGGGAUGGUCAUUUAGAACUGGCAGACUAGAGUCUUGGAGAGGGGAGUGGAAUUCCAGGUGUAGCGGUGAAAUGCGUAGAUAUCUGGAGGAACAUCAGUGGCGAAGGCGACUCCCUGGCCAAAGACUGACGCUCAUGUGCGAAAGUGUGGGUAGCGAACAGGAUUAGAUACCCUGGUAGUCCACACCGUAAACGCUGUCUACUAGCUGUUUGUGGCUUUAAGCCGUGAGUAGCGAAGCUAACGCGAUAAGUAGACCGCCUGGGGAGUACGGCCGCAAGGUUAAAACUCAAU
rnacentral:rRNA from 1 species